rnacentral:rRNA from 1 species
UACAGAGGGUGCGAGCGUUGUCCGGAAUCACUGGGCGUAAAGGGCGCGUAGGCGGCUUCUUAAGCGUGUGGUGAAAGCGCGGGGCUCAACCCCGCGUCGGCCAUGCGAACUGGGGAGCUGGAGCACGUCAGAGGCAGGCGGAAUUCCGGGUGUAGCGGUGGAAUGCGUAGAGAUCCGGAAGAACACCGGUGGCGAAGGCGGCCUGCUGGGACGUGGCUGACGCUGAGGCGCGACAGCGUGGGGAGCAAACGGG